rnacentral:rRNA from 1 species
GACGAACGCUGGCGGCGUGCCUAAUACAUGCAAGUCGAGCGGACAGAAGGGAGCUUGCUCCCGGAUGUUAGCGGCGGACGGGUGAGUAACACGUGGGUAACCUGCCUGUAAGACUGGGAUAACUCCGGGAAACCGGAGCUAAUACCGGAUAGUUCCUUGAACCGCAUGGUUCAAGGAUGAAAGACGGUUUCGGCUGUCACUUACAGAUGGACCCGCGGCGCAUUAGCUAGUUGGUGGGGUAAUGGCUCACCAAGGCGACGAUGCGUAGCCGACCUGAGAGGGUGAUCGGCCACACUGGGACUGAGACACGGCCCAGACUCCUACGGGAGGCAGCAGUAGGGAAUCUUCCGCAAUGGACGAAAGUCUGACGGAGCAACGCCGCGUGAGUGAUGAAGGUUUUCGGAUCGUAAAGCUCUGUUGUUAGGGAAGAACAAGUGCGAGAGUAACUGCUCGCACCUUGACGGUACCUAACCAGAAAGCCACGGCUAACUACGUGCCAGCAGCCGCGGUAAUACGUAGGUGGCAAGCGUUGUCCGGAAUUAUUGGGCGUAAAGGGCUCGCAGGCGGUUUCUUAAGUCUGAUGUGAAAGCCCCCGGCUCA